UCUUCUUCAUUUGCUUUAAGCAGCAGCGACGCUCAGCAAGAGUUCACUUCCCCAUUCAGAGGGUGAGAGGCUGGUUUGUUUUGCAGGUGAUUAUCACAGAUUAUUCUUUAUAUGGUCAAAGGGGAGAUUGCAGUGCUGCCAUUGGCUGUUAUUAUUAUGUUUGGUUGUGACCAACGUUCACAACAUGAGGAGGUUAAAAAAGGGGAAAUGUUAGUUUUUAUCAGACUUGAGCAUCAGUCAGUGGAUCCUCCUGCAGACUCAACACAACGUCUACAGCUCAGAGGCUGCUGAUCAGCACAGACGUGAUGAAGGUUCUUCUGGUCCUCGCCGUCAUGUUCGUUCUCCUCCAUCUGGGGCAAAAUAAACCUCGUUGGGAUAAACGUCAACACCUCAAAAAACAGAAUAAUCAACGUUGUGUGUUUGAACAAUACCGUAACAACAUCAAAAAUCGACCUCGUGUGGGCAAACAAAAACACAGCAAGAACUACAAUAAUCGACCUCGUGGGAGCAAACAAAAACACGGCAACAACUACAAUAAUCGACCUUGUAAGACACAUCGCAAAAUCACAGUGUACCACAAUUUUGUGAGGAAACACAUCCUUGCCCCUGAGACCAUACCUGGACUUGAGUUUGACAGCACUAGCAAUACUUCAUGGCAGACGUACUUAGAAACUAAACGCCUCUGCAAUAGAAAUAAGCAGUCCUUCUUCAAGAAGACGGAUCAGAGUAAAGUUGAGGCCAUCUGUGGUGGCGGGGGCUUCCGGGUACAAAACAUCGACCAGACAGCGUGGCAGAACCUAUGCAUCAGUGGAGAAACAAUCGAAAUGUUUUAUUUGAAAGUCAACAACAAUUGCAAGGUUAACGUUUCAGUUAAAAAUGAACAUGUAGUGUUGGGUUGUGAUGAAGUUGAUAACAUUUGUCGUCCUGUACACUUUGAGAAGUAUGACAAACAAGAAGCAAGUAACAACUACUGCA